rnacentral:rRNA from 1 species
AGCAGCCGCGGUAAUUCCAGCUCCAAUAGCGUAUAUUAAAGUUGUUGCAGUUAAAAAGCUCGUAGUUGAAUUUCGGGGUUAGUAGGUUGGUCGUGCCUUUGGUAUGUACUGGUCUCACUGAUUCCUCCUUCUUGAAGAACUGUAAUGUCAUUAAUUUGGUGUUGCAGGGAAACAGGACUGUUACUUUGAAAAAAUUAGAGUGUUUAAAGCAGGCUAAUGCCUGAAUACAUUAGCAUGGAAUAAUGAAAUAGGACGUUUGAUCCUAUUUUGUUGGUUUCUAGGAUUGACGUAAUGAUUAAUAGGGAUAGUUGGGGGCAUUAGUAUUCAAUUGUCAGAGGUGAAAUUCUUGGAUUUAUUGAAGACUAACUACUGCGAAAGCAUUUGCCAAGGAUGUUUUCAUUAAUCAAGAACGAAAGUUAGGGGAUCGAAGACGAUCAGAUACCGUCGUAGUCUUAACCAUAAACUAUGCCGACUAGGGAUCGGAUGAUGUUAAUUUUUAAUGACUCAUUCGGCGCCUUAC